UACGAAGGGGGGCUAGCGUUGCUCGGAAUCACUGGGCGUAAAGCGCACGUAGGCGGCUUUCUAAGUCAGGGGUGAAAUCCUGGAGCUCAACUCCAGAACUGCCUUUGAUACUGGAAGGCUUGAAUCCGGGAGAGGGAUGCGGAAUUCCAGGUGUAGCGGUGGAAUGCGCAGAUAUCAGGAGGAACACCGGUGGCGAAGGCGGGAUCCUGGGCCAGUACUGACGCUGAGGAGCGAAAGCGUGGGGAGCAAACAGG
rnacentral:rRNA from 1 species